rnacentral:lncRNA from 1 species
GGCAAUCAUACCACAUCUUCUUUUUUAUAUAAACAAUUGUAUGCAAUCAAUAUUUUCCUACUAUGAUAUCAAUCUUGCUGAAAUAUGUAUAUAUAGAAUAGUUUAUGGAGGGGCUAUCAUUUCCCUUAUACAUGAUGAAUGAGCUAUAUUUGAUAGAGCGAAAGAAAAGGCUGGAAUUUUCACUAAAGUAGUAAAUGGCGUCUAAAAAAAUCGAUCUGUGUUUAGAAUAAUUGAACGAUUUUAAACAUUUGUAUUACUAUGUCAACAAAAUAUUGAACCUGCAAAAUGUGUUAUUCCUAUUGUCGUUCUCCCAAACAUGUCUGCAAAUAACAUAAGAAAAAACACAACAC